rnacentral:rRNA from 2 species
GACGUAGGGUCCAAGCGUUGUCCGGAUUUACUGGGCGUAAAGAGCGCGUAGGCGGUCUGUUAAGUGUGAAGUGAAAUCUCCAGGGCUCAACCCGGAAACCGCUUCGCAUACUGGCAGACUGGAGGGAUGCAGAGGUGAGUGGAAUUCCUGGUGUACCGGUGAAAUGGGUAGAUAUCAGGAGGAACACCCAUGGCGAAGGCAGCUCACUGGGCAUCUCCUGACGCUGAGGCGCGAAAGUGUGGGUAGCAAACAGG